rnacentral:rRNA from 1 species
GACGAACGCUGGCGGCGUGCUUAACACAUGCAAGUCGAACGGAAAGGCCCUGCUUUUGUGGGGUGCUCGAGUGGCGAACGGGUGAGUAACACGUGAGUAACCUGCCCUUGACUUUGGGAUAACUUCAGGAAACUGGGGCUAAUACCGGAUAGGAGCUCCUGCUGCAUGGUGGGGGUUGGAAAGUUUCGGCGGUUGGGGAUGGACUCGCGGCUUAUCAGCUUGUUGGUGGGGUAGUGGCUUACCAAGGCUUUGACGGGUAGCCGGCCUGAGAAGGUGACCGGCCACAUUGGGACUGAGAGACGGCCCAGACUCCUACGGGAGGCAGCAGUGGGGAAUAUUGCACAAUGGGCGGAAGCCUGAUGCAGCAACGCCGCGUGCGGGAUGACGGCCUUCGGGUUGUAAACCGCUUUCGCCUGUGACGAAGCGUGAGUGACGGUAAUGGGUAAAGAAGCACCGGCUAACUACGUG